rnacentral:tRNA from 1 species
ACCUUUAUAAUUUAAAUAAAAUAUUAGUCUUGUAAACUAACUAUGGAUUACCUGAAGGUUC